CCUACGGGCGGCUGCAGUGGGGAAUAUUGGACAAUGGGGGCAACCCUGAUCCAGCCAUGCCGCGUGUGUGAAGAAGGCCCUCGGGUUGUAAAGCACUUUCAGUGAGGAAGAACGCCUGGUGGUUAAUACCCAUCAGGAAAGACAUCACUCACAGAAGAAGCACCGGCUAACUCCGUGCCAGCAGCCGCGGUAAUACGGAGGGUGCGAGCGUUAAUCGGAAUUACUGGGCGUAAAGCGCGCGUAGGUGGCUUGAUAAGCUGGUUGUGAAAGCCCCGGGCUCAACCUGGGAACGGCAUCCGGAACUGUCAAGCUAGAGUGCAGGAGAGGAAGGUAGAAUUCCCGGUGUAGCGGUGAAAUGCGUAGAGAUCGGGAGGAAUACCAGUGGCGAAGGCGGCCUUCUGGACUGACACUGACACUGAGGUGCGAAAGCGUGGGUAGCAAACAGGAUUAGAUACCCUUGUAGUC
rnacentral:rRNA from 1 species